AGUGAACGCUGGCGGUAGGCCUAACACAUGCAAGUCGAACGGCAGCACAGUAAGAGCUUGCUCUUACGGGUGGCGAGUGGCGGACGGGUGAGGAAUACAUCGGAAUCUACUUUUUCGUGGGGGAUAACGUAGGGAAACUUACGCUAAUACCGCAUACGCCCUACGGGUGAAAGCAGGGGAUCUUCUGACCUUGCGCGAUUGGAUGCGCCGAUGUCGGAUUAGCUAGUUGGCGGGGUAAAGGCCCACCAAGGCGACGAUCCGUAGCUGGUCUGAGAGGAUGAUCAGCCACACUGGAGCUGAGACACGGUCCAGACUCCUACGGGAGGCAGCAGUGGGGAAUAUUGGACAAUAGGCGCAAGCCUGAUCCAGCCAUACCGCGUGGGUGACGAAGGCCUUCGGGUUGUAAAGCCCUUUUGUUGGGAAAGAAAAGCAGCAGGUUAAUACCCCGCUGUUCUGACGGUACCCAAAGAAUAAGCACCGGCUAACUUCGUG
rnacentral:rRNA from 1 species